GGGCGCGUGGCCUAAUGGUAAGGCGUUGGUUUUCGGUUGCCCAAAUGUGAUCCACCAAAGAUUGUCGGUUCGAACCCGGUCGCGCUCG